GUGGUGAGUUUGAAUAAUCAGUC
rnacentral:siRNA from 1 species